CCCGAGGAGCCGGCCGUGCGGCAGCGGGGCGGGGCGGCCCCGGGGCUCCGAGCGCCGCCUCAGCUUCUGCGAGUGGGUGUCCGGGGGGGGCGCCGGGGCGGGGAGUCCUCUCCCACCCCUCCCCUCGCUUCCUCCCGCCCCCGGUCCCCAUUCUGACCCCCAGGGUCCUCUGUCUGUCCCCCUCCCUCCCGAUCCCUCCUCGCUCCCCCGCUCUCAUCCCUUCUGUCUCCUUUCCCGCCCCCCCCCACAGCUCUCCCCACGUUGGCCCCUCCAUCCGUCUCCCCCCUCUGACUCCCCUCUGUCUGCCCCCCAGGGUCCCCCGUCUUCCCUCUUCCUUCUCCCUCCCCCCUGCUGACCCCAUUUGCUGACCCCUAGAGUCCCCUGUACCCCCCAUGCCCUCCUCCCUGACUUCUGGAGUCCGCUCCCCCAUUUUGACCCCCAGUAUCCCCCAACGGGACCCCCUUUAUGUCCCAUAGAAGCCCCCCCACGACCCCCAGUUUUCCCUUCCAACCUCUCUCUCCACCCCCGAGACCCCCUUUUUCCCCCACGGAAGUCUCGUUCUCCUCUUCCCCCCCAAGGCCCCCCAACCUCCACUUUCUGCCCCUUGAUGCCCUUUACACCCCACAGAAGCCCCACUCACACCUUCCCCCCCCCCCAGAUUCCACACAACCCCCUCUCCACCCCCUGACUCCCUUUCCACCCCACAGAAGCCCCACUAACCCCUUUCUCACCCCCCCCCAAAACCCCCCUUUUCCCCACUUAGAAUCAUGAAGAAGGAUCUGGAGACGUCCUAGAGAGGUCUGGGGGCAUCCAGGGGGUUCUGGACUCAUCCAGAAGAGUCUGGAGAUGUCCAAGGAGGAUCCAGGGAGUCCCCAGGUUGGUCCUGUGGGCCCCUGGAAGGGUCUGGCAGCUCCCACGAUGGGCCCAGGAGCUCUGAGGAGUCUCUGGGCUGAUCUGGAGAUGUCCCAGUAGAGUCUGCGAGGGUCCAGGGAGCCCUCGUGUGGGUCUGAGUGGUCAUCCAGAAGGGUCUGGGGAUGUCCCAGAGGGGACUUGGAGGGUCUGGGGGGUCCUUUGGUGGGUUCAGAGGGUCCUGUUGUCUUCUGGAAGGGUCUGAAGAUGUCCCAGAAGUGUCCUGGGUGUCCAAAGGGUGCUCAUGUGGGUCUGGGGGGUCCUGGAGCCAUCCAGAAGGGUCUGGGGAUGGCCCAGAGAGGACUUGGAGGGUCUGGGGGGUCCUUUGGUGGGUUCAGAGGGUCCUGUUGUCUUCUGGAAGGGUCUGAAGAUGUCCCAGAAGUGUCUUGGGGUGUCCAGGGGGUGCUGUCACUGAGCCUCCCACUGUCCUAUGAGGGGACAAAAGGACCCCCCUGGGGGCAUUGCGCCAAAGUUGGGGACACUGUGAGCAGCUUGAGGACUUCCCAGGGGAAGUGGGGACACCGCGUCACUGUGUCACACCUCAAAGUUGGGGACACCCCCACCGUGUCACACCUCAAAGUUGGGGCAUCUCUGUGUCCCCCCGAUGGUGUCACACCCCAAAGUUGGGGACACACCACAGUGUCACACCCCAAAGUUGGGGACACCCCCACAUGUUACACCCCAAAGUUGGGGUCUGUCCCAGAGGUGGGAGUGCCCCCACGUUCCCCACCAUGGCGUCACAUCCCAAAGUUGGGGACCCCCCUCUGGGGACCCAUUCUGUGCGCCCCCCAUUGCAGACUGCACUGUUCCCAUGGGGUGGGGCGGGGGGCACCCUUUAUUUUUGGGAUUAAGGUUUAUUUUGUGAUAACGGGGGGUUGGGGAUGCCCCCCCCCACGUGAAUAGAGGGCAGAGGAGCGGCUGUGGGGCUCCGUGUGUCACACCGGGGAGUGCUUUGGGGACACUGCAGCAUCCCAGCCCCAUAGCCCCCAUGGCCCUAUAACCACUACAGCCCCAUCUCGUAGCCAUCCCAUAUCCAUAUCCCAUCCCAUAUCCCAUCCUGUAUCCAUAACCCUUCCAAUAUCCAAAACAUGAUAUCUGUCCCACGCCCAUAUCCCAAAUCCAUCCCAUAUCCAUAUCCCAAAUCCAUCCCGUAUCCAUAUCCCAAAUCCAUCCUAUAUCCAUAUUCCAAAUCCAUCCCCUAUCCAUAUCCCAUCCCAACUUCAUGCCAAAUCUCUUUCUAUAUCCAUAUCACCUUAUCUAUCCCAUAACCAUCCCAAAUCCAUCUCAAAUCCAUAUCUCAUCCCAAACCGAUCCCAUCUCCUUAUCCAUCCCAUAUCAAUGUCCCAUCCCUUAUCCAAUCCCAUAUCCCAUCCUAAAGCCAUCCCACAUCCAUACCCCUACAUCCCAUAUCCUAUCCCCAUCCUGUACCCCAUGUCCCAUAUCCAUUUCCAUCCCACAGCCUUCCUGAAUCCAUAUCCCCACAUCCAUCCCGUGUCCACCCCAUAUCCAUUCCAUAUACCUAUCCCAUCCCUAUGAUCAUCCCAAUCCCAUCCCAUAUCCAUAUCCUGUCCCAACUCCACCCCAUAUCAUUCCCAUAUCUUUGCCAAGUCUGUCCCGUACCUGUAUACCCACUUCCUGCAUCCCAACCCCAAUCCCAAUCCCAAUCCACGCCUCAUUCCCAAUCCCACAUGCCAAUCCCAUAUCCCGUAUUCCCAAUCCCUAUCCCGAAUCCCAAUGCCAAUCCCACAUCCCAGCCCCAUGUACCAUCCGUCAAUCCAUCGCAAUCCCAAAUCUCAUAUCCCAGUCCUAACCCCAAUCCCACACCCCCAAUCCCAAUCCCACACCCCUAAUCCCAAUCCCAACCCCUAUUGCAAUAGGGCGCACUCCGAGCCCCUCCCGCCGCUCUAUCCCGCCUCCUGCCUCUCAUUGGUCAGGUGCCGCUCUGUCCCGCCCCCAGCCUCUCAUUGGUCAGAUGCAGCUCUAUCACGCCGCCGGCCUCUCAUUGGCUGAGCUGCAGCUCCGUCCCGCCCCCAUCCUCUCAUUGGUCAGACUCAGCUCCGUCCCGGCCCCGGACUCUCAUUGGAUGAGCCGCAGUUCCAUCCUGCCUUCAGCCUCUCAUUGGUCAGGUGCAGCUCCUUCCCCUCCCCGGCCUCUCAUUGGCUGACGCGCAGCCCAGUCCCGCCCCCGGCCUCUCAACCGGUCAGCGGCAGCGCCGCCGGCCUUCCAUUGGCUGAGGCGCAGCGCGCGGGGGCAGCCGUUGGCAGCCGGCUCGGAG
rnacentral:lncRNA from 1 species